AUGGACAACCAGGAACAAGGUAUUCCAGACCCCUUUCUUGCUUUAGAAAUAGAGUUAGCCCGGUUAAAUGAAAACGCCCGUCAUUCACAGAAUACACCUCCGCAGAAUCAUGAACACCCUGAGGUGAUCAAUAAUAAUAACGAUCCUCUAGAACUGAUUGAUUUAGCUCUUGCACAACUAGCCCGUAGUGAAAGUGCCCACCAGAAUAACACUGAGAAUUUAGGAGUCGAGCAUGUUGAGGCUCAUUCUCAGCAAAACAUUGCCUCUUCUGACCCUUUCGCCGCUCUUAAUAGCGCUUUAGAAGCCUUAGCACAAAUACAGCACGAGGUUCAAAUACCUCCAGAUUUAUUGAGUCAAAUAAAUAGGUUAAAUCAAAAUAUUUUUAAUGAUAGCCAGCAUUCGCUCAGUUCUACACCACGCGGUGAGUCUGUUAACCACAGUCCACCCCCACCGGUGUUAAACGGUUUCAAUGAGUCUAAUCAACAACAAUCGUCUGAGAUUGUCUCUGUUAACCCCAUGAAUAAUGCGCCCGAUCACCCCUUUCAACAAGGGGGUAAUCCAGACCAGAGCUGCGCCAGCAAUUCACCACAACCAUCUAUAGUUGUCAGAAAUAAAUUUAAUAACGUUCAAAUUAGAGAAAUUUUGAAUUUCCCUCCUCCAAACGAUAUACCUGAUUAUGCACACUAUUAUCAAGGUGUAAUGGGCGGGGCCCGUGAAAUUUCAGACAGGAUUUUCUCCCAUGCACGUCCAGAUGAUCUUAUACAAUUAGAGUUGAUAGGACCUCAGUUGCAGAAUAAUGUUUCAGUCAUUUUAAGGGACAAUCGUGAUUUGAGUGAAUUUGAAAAUUUAUUUCUCAGGGCGGUACAGUCAAACUGGUCAGUAAUGUGCGAGGGCUCGCUCGAGCUUGUAGCUCAGAUCGUUAGACCCCCAGCCGGUAGUGGAAAGAGGAUGCUUAAACACAUACUCGACAAUGAAAUUGUCAGAAAGAAAAGGCGCUUUUUAUAUAUUGUUCAUAACCCCGCAAAUAAGUUAUGUUUUGCUAUAAGUCUUGCCCACCUUCUGCACCCUGAUUUUAACGAUCAACAAGCAGAGGUUUUCGGUAGAGAAAUUCAGCAAAAAGCUGGUUUAAAUGAUCAAACGCCUGUCGGCUUUAAUCAGAUUAUUACAUUUGAAAGGUUACUCGGAUGUAAAAUUAUAGUAUUUUACCGCAACGAAAACGAUCGCAGCCUUUGUAAAUUUCAAACUAGUACACCCAAUACAGAAAAAACCCUUUGUUUAUUUUUAUUUGAGAAUCAUUACUAUGCUAUCAAAAAUCUAAAAGGGUUUAUGGGUACAUCCUAUCUCUGUAAUCAUUGUUAUAUAGGGUACAACCAUGUGUUAUCACACUUUUGUCCUGCUCGCUGUUCAGUCUGUAUGCAAUCUGAUUGUAGCCAAUAUUCCAUCUCUCCUAUUGUGUGUCAUGAUUGUAAUCGCACCUGUCGGUCUCCCUAUUGUUUCAAGAGCCAUAAAAAACUCGUUGACAGGCGUGAAAGAUCCGCCAGCAACUGUCAGCUCUAUAAAAAAUGUGUCAAGUGUUCCAGACUUUAUUAUUUAGCAGUAAACGAAAAACCUCACAAAUGUCAAAACAGGAAAUGCCCAAUCUGUCACCAGGAAAUCUCCACUGAUCAGCAAACGCAUCAGUGCUACAUGCAGGUUUUAGAACGCGAGACAAAACACAACAACAAGUUGAUUUUUUACGAUUUUGAAACGUUUGUAAAUCAAACCGGUGAGCACACUCCCUUUCUGGUUUGUACGAGAACUUUAGACGGUAAAUCCUGGAACUGUGUUGGUGAGGACUGUGCAGAAAAGUUUCUCGCUCAUUUUAGACGUCCACUCUUUAAGGGCUGUAUUUUUAUCGCCCAUAAUGCAAAAGGUUUUGACGGGUACCUUAUUUUAUCCCGAAUGGCUAAACAAGGCUUAAAACCACAUUUAAUUAUGCAAGGAUCCAAACUCAUCAGCUUUACAGACCCAGACUAUAAUCAACGAUACAUGGAUUCAAGCUGUUUUCUCCCUAUGCCGCUGUCAGGUAUCCCAAAAGCAAUGGGAUUUUCAGACAGCGUAAAGGGUUUCUUUCCUCACUCUUUCAGUUCCAGAGAAACUCUAAAAUAUGUAGGCCCCUACCCUCCACCCUCAGCUUACAGCAUAGAGAGAAUGACAACAAAAGGCAGGGAUGAUUUUUACAAAUGGUAUGAUUCAGUCAGCUCCGGUACCUUCAAUUUCAUGAAAGAGGCCCUGUCAUACUGCGAAAACGAUGUUGAGAUUCUAGCUGAGGGCUGCAAAUUGUUUAGAAACGGGUUUAUUGAAGAAACAGGAGUAGAUCCUUUCAGCCGGAACACGCUUGCAAGUGCCUGCCUGAAAACUUUUUUAACAAACUUCAUGCCAGCCAAUUCUUAA
ensembl:lncRNA